CCUCAGAGUGGGAUUGGUGGAACAUGGCUGAAGACUUGGAAUGAGACCCUAGAAAGUGUACUCCCCGCCCCCAGCGAAGUGGCUGUGCCCAGAGACUGGUAGCGCCCAAGGGUGGGGUGAGAUUUCUUCUAGUACCUGAAGGACUCUUGUUCAGGAGGCAUGAAUUCCUAGCAUUCCCUGUGACUGACAAGACCAGGAGAGGGGGCAAGCCCCAUGUAGGGAAGUAGCCACAUUGGGGAAAGUGGCAGACAGAGCCAGGAGCCUGGGAAGGAAACAGGAUGGCGGCAGGGACAGCGGCUGGAGCCUGGGUGCUAAUCCUUGGUCUGUGGGGGUCAGUAGUAGGUGGUCAAAACAUCACAGCCCACAUCGGGGAGCCACUGGUGCUGAACUGUAGAGGAGCACCCAGGAAACCACCCCAGCAGCUGGAAUGGAAGCUGAACACAGGCCGGACAGAAGCUUGGAAGGUCCUCUCUCCCCAGGGAAGUCCCUGGGAAAGUGUGGCUCGAGUCCUUCCCAAUGGCUCCCUCCUCCUUCCAGCUGUUGGAAUCCAGGAUGAGGGAACUUUCAGGUGCAGAGCAAUGAGCAGGCGUGGGAAGGAGGCCAAGUCCAACUACCGGGUCCGAGUCUAUGAGAUUCCUGGGAAGCCAGAAAUUGUAGAUCCUGCCUCUGAACUCACAGUCGGUGUCCCCACUAAGGUGGGGACCUGCGUGUCUGAGGGAAGCUACCCUGCGGGAACUCUUAGCUGGCACUUGGAUGGGAAACCCCUGAUUCCUGAUGGAAAAGGAGUCUUGGUGAAAGAAGAGACCAGAAGACACCCUGAGUCAGGGCUCUUUACACUCCAAUCAGAGCUAAUAGUGACCCUGGCCCAGGGAGAUGCUGCUGGCCCCACCUUCUUCUGUAGCUUCAGCCCAGCUCUUCCUCGGCACCGGGCUUUGAACACAGCUCCCAUCCAGCCCAUUGUGAGGAGUGGGAGGAUUCCAAGUUCAGAGUCUGUACCACUGGAAGUCCAACUGUUGAUCGAGCCAGAAGGUGGAGUAGUAUCUCAAGGUGGGACGGUGACCCUCACCUGUGAAGCCCCUGCACAGCCCCCUUCUCAGAUCCACUGGAUAAAGAAUGGAAUACCCCUGCCCCUGCCCCUCAGCCCUGUGCUUCUCAUCCCUGAGGUAGGGCCUCAGGAUGAAGGGACCUACAGCUGUGUGGCCACCCAUCCCAGUCAAGGGGCUAAGGAAAGCCCUGCUGUCAACGUCGUCAUAGGUGAGGCCUCUUCUUUAAAUCCAAGGACCCUGGAACUGGACUGAGCAACACAGCAGGCUCCAACUCCCUACCCCAUUUUAAUAGGAUUCCCCAAGGGCCACCCUCUCUUUCCCAGUCAGAGCCUCCUUUGACCCAUCCAAAUCCUUCCAAAUGACCAGCCCAGUCUCUCCUUGCUGAACUGAAGGGAGACUCCAUUGGGGCUCCUCUCCCAAACUGAAGUGUACCUUUCUGAUUUGCUUGGACUUUGUCUUCCAGAAACAGGAGAGGAGGGGCGAGCUGCAGGUGAGGGACUGGAUUAAAGUCAGAGGAACAGAUAGCCCUGCCGUGUGACUGUGGGUAUGGUCAACAGGAAAGGCAUGAAAGGCCCCAGAAAACCAAGAAGAGGAGGAAGAACGUGCAGAGCUGAAUCAGUCAGAGGAGCC